rnacentral:rRNA from 1 species
AGGGUUUGAUCAUGGCUCAGGACGAACGCUGGCGGCGUGCUUAAUACAUGCAAGUCGAACGAUCCCGGGACUUCGGUCCCAAUGGGAGAGUGGCGAACGGGUGCGUAACACGUGAGAAACCUGUCCCGAAGAUGGGAAUAGCCCAGGGAAACCUGGAUUAAUGCCCAAUACCCUGAGAGCGCCGCAUGGCGCAUUCAGGAAAGGUUCCGGCGCUUUGGGAGGGUCUCGCGGCCUAUCAGCUUGUUGGUGAGGUAAAGGCUCACCAAGGCAUCGACGGGUAGCUGGUCUGAGAGGACGAUCAGCCACACUGGGACUGAGACACGGCCCAGACUCCUACGGGAGGCAGCAGUAGGGAAUCUUGCGCAAUGGGCGAAAGCCUGACGCAGCAACGCCGCGUGGGGGAAGAAGGCCCUCGGGUCGUAAACCCCUUUCAGCAGGGACGAAAUUGACGGUACCUGCAGAAGAAGCGCCGGCCAACUACGUGCCAGCAGCCGCGGUAAUACGUAGGGCGCAAGCGUUGUCCGGAUUUAUUGGGCGUAAAGGGCUCGUAGGCGGUUCGGUAAGUCGGGUGUGAAAACUCAGGGCUCAACUCUGAGACGCCACUCGAUACUGCCAUGACUAGAGUCCGGUAGAGGAGUGCGGAAUUCCUGGUGUAGCGGUGAAAUGCGCAGAUAUCAGGAGGAACACCGACAGCGAAGGCAGCACUCUG